rnacentral:ncRNA from 2 species
GGAUACCACCCUGGAGAGACUCAUUUUAUGAGCAUCGAAGAAGAAACUCAAAAUUAUUUUAAUUUGUGGUUUUGGGGAAACUUUCAGAUAAAAGGACAGGUGUAAAUA